GUUCUGCUUGCUGACACAGAGGAAGGCUUCUUGAACGACAGCGUCCUUCUUCAUUCCACACAGAGAGAUGAGAGGAGCAGCUAUGAGUUUAACUGCAGCAACAAGUGGAUUUGUCGUCUUCCUUCUCUCUGUGUCAGUGGUACAGAGCCAGAAUGACUGGGGAGUGACUUACACUUAUACUGAGAUCUGUGCCUUCAAAGGAUCAACAGUGGAAAUAAGCUGCACCUACAGAUACCCAACCACAAACAAUUACCAUUAUACAGUUGAGAAAACAUUCUGGUUUAAAGGUGAUGAAAUUGUGGAUCUGAAAACAAAGUCAGAGUAUUCAGGUCGUGUGGAGUAUAACUGUCAUAUGAACCGCUGCUCUCUGAGAAUCACAGACCUGAGAGAGAGCGACUCAGCUGAGUACAAGUUCAGGUUCAUAACAAACCAAGAACUUGGGAAAUAUACUGGUUCACCUGGAGUCACUCUGUCUG